rnacentral:tRNA from 1 species
GGGGACAUAGUUUAACCUGGCUAGAACCGCCGCCUCCAGAGCGGCUAAUCGGGGUUCAAAUCCUCGUGUCCCCA